AAGGCCAGUGCUUGCACUGGUGCUCGAGUGGCGAACGGGUGAGUAGCACGUGGGUGAUCUGCCCUGCACUUUGGGAUAAGCCUGGGAAACUGGGUCUAAUACCAGAUAGGACCAUGCUUUGGAUGGUGUGGUGGAAAGUUUUUUCGGUGUGGGAUGAGCUUGCGGCCUAUCAGCUUGUUGGUGGGGUAAUGGCCUACCAAGGCGUCGACGGGUAGCCGGCCUGAGAGGGUGUACGGCCACAUUGGGACUGAGAUACGGCCCAGACUCCUACGGGAGGCAGCAGUGGGGAAUAUUGCACAAUGGGCGCAAGCCUGAUGCAGCGACGCCGCGUGGGGGAUGACGGCCUUCGGGUUGUAAACUCCUUUCGCAACUGACGAAGCU
rnacentral:rRNA from 1 species